GUUGGGCACUAGGUGUGGGGAACAUUCCACGUUUUCCGCGCCGUAGCUAACGCAUUAAGUGCCCCGCCUGGGGAGUACGGCCGCAAGGCUAAAACUCAAAGGAAUUGACGGGGGCCCGCACAAGCGGCGGAGCAUGCGGAUUAAUUCGAUGCAACGCGAAGAACCUUACCAAGGCUUGACAUGCACCGGACGACUCCAGAGAUGGGGUUUUCUUCGGACUGGUGCACAGGUGGUGCAUGGCUGUCGUCAG
rnacentral:rRNA from 1 species